rnacentral:lncRNA from 1 species
CACACUCACACCUGCGCGAGCACUGGCUCAGUGUCCGCGUGCACUUUAAGAUUUAAAGUGGACAAAAAGGAGAGCUGGAGGAGCCAGAUUUAAGGUUCCCUUAAGAAGAGUGAGCCCCUUUCCCUCCUCAAUCGUGACUCUUCCUGGUGGGGUAAAAACGGGCACCACCCCACCCUUUUUAAAGAAAGGAACAAGAGAACAAGCCUUAAACCACUGGAGAACCUGUGCCACACAAUGCAGCGCUGGAUUCCCUUUCUUAGUGCGAUGCUGAAUUGUCUGCGACUCUCUCCUGACAGAUCUUUAAUAUCACAUAAGAGUGGAUUUUAUUUUGUGCUCUCCUGGAGUGAGUGAGGGAUCACCAUGACUACGACAUCAAGCGUAUAGCUUCUCCCUCAGCGAAAACAAGCGACAGACAGAGCUUCAAAGACUAAUUUGAGUUCUUGCCAGGUAAAAAGUAAAAGUUUGCUGCUGCUGGAAUCCCACUGAGGUGUAAACACAUGACUGCUCAGUGUUGUUACAUUCCUGCUAUUCAACUGAGAUUCACAGAAAGAACAAAAAACAUGGAGUGAAGGAAAUGAAGAGCAUUUAAUAAGAGAUGAGUGGAGCAGGAAUCGCUUGAGGUCGCCAGGUUAUUCCUCAUCCUCAUCUGCAUCAUUAACACUGAAAGGUGGGGUUCUGCUCCAGGUACCUGACAUCUAGCAGAAGAUUCAUGAACGCUAUGAACUGAAGCAUGAACACAAACACGCUCUCACACACAUCUGUUUACGUCAUCCAACAGCCCAGCAAGCCUGAAAGCUUGUUUUGCAGAAGAGGAUAGACAGCGUUGUGGAAAUUACAAUAUGCCUCAGAGCAGA